rnacentral:rRNA from 1 species
GAUGAACGCUGGCGGCGUGCCUAAUACAUGCAAGUCGAGCGAACGGACGAGAAGCUUGCUUUUCUGAUGUUAGCGGCGGACGGGUGAGUAACACGUGGAUAACCUACCUAUCAGACUGGGAUAACUUCGGGAAACCGGCGCUAAUACCGGAUAAUCUUUUGAACCGCAUGGUUCACAAGUGAACGACGGUCUUGCUGUCCCUUCUAGCUGGCUCCGCGCUGCAUUAGCUAGUUGGUAAGGUAACGGCUUACCAAGGCAACGAUGCAUAGCCGACCUGAGAGGGUGAUCGGCCACACUGGAACGGAGACACGGUCCAGACGCCUAAGGGAGGCAGCAGUAGGGAAUCGGCCGCAAUGGGCGAAAGCCUGACGGAGCAACGCCGCGUGAGUGAUGAAGGUCUUCGGAUCGUAAAACUCUGUUAUUAGGGAAGAACAGAUGUGUAAGUAACUGUGCACAGCGUGACGGUACCUAAUCAGAAAGCCACGGCUAACUACGUG